CGGCGGACGGGUGAGUAACACGUGGAUAACCUACCUAUAAGACUGGGAUAACUUCGGGAAACCGGAGCUAAUACCGGAUAAUAUAUUGAACCGCAUGGUUCAAUAGUGAAAGACGGUUUUGCUGUCACUUAUAGAUGGAUCCGCGCCGCAUUAGCUAGGUGGUAAGGUAACGGCUUACCAAGGCAACGAUGCGUAGCCGACCUGAGAGGGUGAUCGGCCACACUGGAACUGAGACACGGUCCAG
rnacentral:rRNA from 1 species